CUGGGAGGCCUGGUUUGCCUCUUGGGCCCAGGAGUCACUGCAGCCUCGGGGGAGAGGGGUCCUGGGCCCCUCCCACCGCGGAGCGCUACCUGCCAGCCCUGCUUGCUGUGCAAGCAGGCGGAUCUCUCCUUUCCACGGUGCAGACUUGCAAGCCUGUUGUCUGCCUAAAUUUUUUCUUCCCCUCCUAGCUCCCCCCUCUUCUAAUUCUCAGAACUCACUCCCAUUGGAUUCCAGGAAAUGGCUGGUGCAACUUUGUAACCAAAUCCCCUGAAUCCUUUUGUAUACCGUGUCCGCUCCUCUGCCCCUCUGCAGUGCCCUUCACGGCUAGGUCCGGUUACAGAGAACAACUGUCCAGGCCAGGCUGGCCCUGAGACUCUCCAGGGAUCCCGCAGCUUCCGGGGGCCCUCCCCCCUCACUACUGGCCCGCCGGCCCUCCUGAGGGAGCGGAACUGUGGAGGCAAAUGCCCUGAAGCCCCAGACCUUGCCUCACACCCACCUCCCGAAUCCUUCCUCUUCUCUGUGGGAAUACUUUUGACCACGUCUUAUUCUACGAGAGAUGGGGAUGGACUCACUCAGGGUUAGCAAGCUUUUUCUGUAAAGGAACAGACAGUAAAUAUUUUAGUCUUUGCAGGGCCACAUCCAUAGAUGACAUCUUCCUUUCUUUUUCCACCUUGCCAUGCCCCCCGCCCCCCACAACUAUUUAAAAAUGUUAGGAAAAAAAAUCCUUGUUCAAAGGCUGUAUAAAGACAGGCCGCAGCCAGAUUUGGUCAUAGUUGGUUGACCCUUGGACUAGACGAUCUCUCUUACCUGCUGAAAAUGUCUUAAAAAUUUGUUCUGGGCCUAGACAGACCGAGCUGUGCUGACCUCUAACUCCUGUGUGCGUCAUCCUGGGAGUGUUGGCAAAGGGUGCCAGAAUCCAAUAAGUUUGGGAAACAGAGCCCUUCCCAUACGACUUCACAGAGCCUUUACUGUGUCAAGGGGAACCGACUCUCUCCCAGACUGCAGGAGUUUGCAGUGUGUUUGUCUGUAGAGCUGGCUUUGUGUUCUGCGAAAUACCCUUGGAGAAGCAUUUUCUAGAUGAAUCUUCUCCUAGCUUUGCCUUUGACUUCGAAGAAUCUAAUUUUCAUACGGAGUUCGGACCCUGUCCCCAGCAGCACUUAGCACGGUCGCUAGGAGGACACACCUAUUCACUGAGCAGCCUCCUCCCGCCGGGCGGAAGGGGCAGCAGGCUCUCCAGGCGAAAGAGGUCUGGACCUUGUGUGUGGAGGCAGGGAGGUGCCCAAGAGCCUGGAUGGGGCAGCAUGUGGGGAGUGUUGGCCCAGGCCCCAGGUGAUUUGAAUCAGGGUGUUUUCUAUUCCCCACCCAGAAGAGUUGGAGAACUCAUUCAUUAUCCCACUUGGAACACUGAGAGGUCCCCUCCAAGCCCAGCACCCCCAUGCGGGCACAUGCAGUCCGACCAGAGUCAGUGUUGCAAGAUAACUGACACUUUGAAUCACUGCGAACGCUCUACCUUUAUUGAGGAAUUGGACCAUCUUUGAAGCCACUGCUUUGCUUAUUGUGAUAAUGCGUGGUUAAGUAAAUCGAUAGGGCAGGCUUUCCCCACAUUGCCAAGAGGUGGAAACAGGAUCAGAGGCAUUUGUGGACUUUCCUCAGGCACUGAAGCAAGUUUGGCAAACAUUGCAGCCUGUAAGCCCUGUGGGAGACUCACGAUGCCCAAGAGCAUAGCCAGGGUCCGGAGAAGGCUUGCAUGAAAGAAACCAGUUCUUUGCAUAGCCAUGUCUCACUUUUCUUCGAGCAGCACCUGAUGAUUAUCCCCGGGGCUUGGAUUUUACGUCGAAUUCUCCUUAUGCUGAAGUCAAGUCUGUUCAUUCAUAGCAUCCUCCAUCACUGGGGCUCUUUGCUGUUUGUUGGGUCUCUCCCUUAAUAGGGUUUGAUCUCCACAAGAGCAGGGACUUUGUUUAACUGAGAACAGUGCUUGCACCCAGUGGACAGUCAAUAUUUGUUGAACAGAAGCAUCAGUGAGUGGCCUGGGUGCCAGAGAAGGCAGCAGUGUGGACCGUAUCUUUACCUGUGCCGCCCCCCCUGCUAGGAACGCCUCCCCUGUCCUCUGCUCCCCUAUUCCACGCCUAUCGCUUCUCUCCAGUCUCUGACUCACCCCGUCUAAGGAGUCUUCUUGGCUACCCACCACCUGCCACCGUCCAUCCUGGGCCACACUCCCUUGGACACCUGUUCCUACUUCAUCAGACCUUGCUUACUUGGCUUUCUUCUCUGGGUAAAUUAAGGAGAGCAGGUUCAAUUCAGGGAGCAGCCUGAAGGCUGAACUGUGAUGACCGAUUGGACCCAUCUGGGAUGGAUGCUGAAGAUAGAGACAAUCACAGGCCCUGAGCUCAGGGGCCCCCUGUCCAGUGGGGGUCAUCUCCCACUGGGUCCCCAGAGCCAACUGUUCAAUUUUCAGGGUUUUUUCAAGCCAGUUGCCAAACAUGGCCCUUUGCUAAAUCAGGGUUGAACUGCAACUGUAGGCUUGCUACAGAUACAAGGGUUUGGCAACAAUCCAGAAAAGCAUUCUCUGGGAAUCAAUUGGCUAUACAGAAUUGAC
ensembl:lncRNA